GUUGAGAAGCUCGCGGUCUCCCUCACCUCUACAACGAAUAGUCCAUAGACAGAGUAAAAGCAAAUAGGCAGUUUGGCUGGGAGCUGUGAACUCUGAUGCAGCAACUGGUUAAACACUUGAACCUAAACACCAUGAUGAUUAUGUUGACGAUUCCUUGCUGGUCAUGUACGAGGAGCACUGAUCAAUUGCUGAAGGUGAUCGAGCAGAUAGUUUUCCAAUAGAGCAAACUGAUGUGAUCUUCUGGAUUAUCUCCGAAAACAAAGUUACUUCUU